rnacentral:tRNA from 1 species
UGGGAUGUUGCUCAGUGGCAGAGCACUUGCCUAGCACACAAAAGGGCCUGGGUUUGAUUCCCAGUACUGCAA